rnacentral:tRNA from 1 species
GGGGUUUAGCUCAGUGGUAGAGCGCUUGCUUAGCAAGCACAAGACCCUGGGUUCAGUCCCCAGCUCCG